rnacentral:lncRNA from 1 species
GCUGGUUCUUCCAGGAGCGCGCAUGAGCGGACGCUGCCUACUGGUGGCCGGGCGGGAUGUAACCGGCUGCUGAGCUGGCAGUUCUGUGUCGCUAGGCUUCUGCCCGGCCGCCGCCGCACAUAAGCCACGAGGAGGAGCUUUACGACUUCCCGGUCUUCGGCGCCGGGCGCAGCAAGGGCCAGACUCUGCGCUAGCAGGCGCUGCGCGCCAACCGGCCGGCACCUGUCGCAGAAGGUGCAACCGAUCGCACUGUCGCGCAGAAGCUCCUCAAUGGCCAGCGCCAGCUGCAGCCCCGGCCGCCCACUCGCCUCAUCUGAGCCUGGGCAAAUCUGGAUUGGGAAAGUUGACAUUAAUCAACUCAUUAUUCCUCACAGAUUUGUAUUCUCCAGAGUAUCCAGGUCCUUCUCAGAGAAUUAAAAAGCCUGUACAGGUCUAGAUAUUGGUAUUUUUAAUUGAUGAUAAGCUGGAAUAAUAUUAAUACACACAAAGCACGUGUUGUAACUUUCAUUAUGCUUCCUUAGAGCUCUGUUCACGGAAAGGGCCUGGGAGCUGCAACACCUCAACAGCAACAAGCACACCUGCUACCUAGAACUUGGUUUCUAAAAACCAUCCUCCUCUAAAAGGAAACAGAGCUCUUUGAAGAAACGAAGGUAAGCAUGAGCAAAUUACUUUUUAGAGGUAACUUUGCUGAACUUGUGAAGAAUGGUGUGCAAGGUCCAGAGCGACUGCAGGAGAGGGAAGGUGGGAUUCCCACAGAGCAGGAGCACAGAUAAGCCAAGCAAGGCCCUGCUUGGAAGGCAGCAAUCAACAGAGAUGCACAGACCUGUGAGGGUGCCGGGACAGCCAUGCAACAAUGCAGCCCUUUUGCUUCCUGAGCUCACCAGUUCCCUCGCUCCACCUCUGAGAGGUGGUUUGGAGAAACACAGCCCUUCUCAAGAGGGCUGCAAGCUACUUAAGUCCUGAAAAUUUCCACAAGGCUGAGUCAAAUCUGCGUUUCAUCAUCUAUAAGAAAGGUACCUAUCGAGAACACCCUGCUGGCCAGUGUGUAAAUAUCUAAAGGAGGACUCAGAAAACACCGGGGAAGUCCAGCCUGCACGUGGUGGCUGGGCUUCAGUGAAGCAUGCAGCACAACAGGAGUUAGCAGCCAUGCACUGCCCAGGCUGGAAGUAUGCUCAACCACAAGGGUCAGGGCUGGGAGAGGCGCUUCGGUAGCAAGAAGGUGCCUCUGAAAACCAGCAUUGGGAUGGAGAGGGCUGAAGGCAAGUGCUGGAUGUGACCACGGGCAGCUUUCAGGCUGGGAGCAC